UACUGAUGGGAUGGGUCUAAAUCAUAGGAUUCAACUCAUUCAAUAGCAGCUUAAGCAAGUUAAGUGCGGAUGUUUUGUGCAAUGCCUAUGUAACCCAGGCACAGUCAUGCCAGAUUUCAAGGGCCAGAUGUUUAGGCACCAAAUACUCAAGCACCAGAUAAUGGGAUUUCCAGAAAUUCAUAAAUACUUGCUUUCUCUUGAACUGAGUGGAAAAUUGUGGCACAUGAGAAAUGUUUGCAAACAUUAGAUGGGCUCCCUCAGAAGAUUACUCAAAUCAGCAACCUCUCUUAGAUCCUAACUCUGCUUUGAUUAUAGCGGAAGCCCCAAAAUGCAUCUUAGAUUUACCCUCUGGAGGAAACCUAGGAAGACCAGCCUUGUUAGGCUAAAGUUAGCUUCUGUGAAUACAGUUCUGAAAAGUCUUGCUGCGUACUGAUUGUCAUCUGUAGGAGCUGGAAUGCAUUUAUAGGUCAGGCAUUGUGCCUUAGUCAUCACAAAUUGAUUUUGGUACAACUAAAUUUAUACCUAGAUUAAAUAAAAUCAGCCAAAACUACUGUGGCAAAGGGUCAGUUGCUUGGCUGAUAGUAAUUAAAGAGUUCAGAAGAGUCACUAGGACAUUGUCGUGGGAGGUCAGGAGAGGAAUGGAGUGUGAGCAGAGAGACAGCAUGAUCAUUUAGACUUCUGACUGAGGCUGAGUUUAAUACCUGGUUCUGUUAAAGACUGCUUGGAUAAUUAUGAGCAAGACAUAGUGAUACUCAUCCAACCAAAGGGAAACCUCCUGUUCUGAAAUAGUUACCCUGGCCAGACUGUACACAGUCUUUCCAGAACCUGAUUCAUCUUUUCCUCAUGUAGAAAUAGAAACCUGGUCAAGGUUAAUGGGCUACAUAGAGGACCCAAGGCAGCCAGCUCAGCUACAGACUUUGAUUCCGUCUCAAAGAAGUAACCACCAGGAGAAGCUAUUCACAGAUGACCCACAUCUGCUCUGUGGACUCACCUCCAUUUACAGAAAUCAGCGCGCUGGUUGUUGAUCCUAGAAACGAAAAGUGACCUUCAAACAGCGUGCUUCAGCACUGGGGUCCUGAAUCUAAAGUCUGCUGUAGAGAAAAGAGGUUUGAAUGCCCAUUCCCACCAGGGUUUUGAGGACCUCCAGAGGAAAACUGCUCACAACAAAUGCCUGUUAAUUAAAAAGAUUAUCAGCCUAAAAACAAUAACGUUGGUUAGGAUGGAAUUCUUCGCCAUGUCAUUUGAGACAUGAAAUUGUUACUUGAAGCACUGAGUGACACUCUCAAUAAGGGCCAGCUGGUGGAAAUUACUAAACAUGUUGUAAAUAGAGUUUGGAGGCACUGAGGAUUAGGCCUGUGGUUAGAGGAAUCAAAACCCACCCGGGCUGGGGUAAUGACUAAAAGGUGGCCAUGCUGUGACACUCCUGUCCUUCCCUUCUUCCUCCUCAGCUCAUGCGCCUUAGACUACGCAUUCCUGAAGGGCUGACACGGGAAAUGGUUGGAUUCGCUUGUGCUGUGGCUGCAGCAGACACUGUCAGCAAGAAAAGAGGGGAGGAGAAUGCCAUAAGAAGGGAAGAAAGAGGAAGGAGAAACAGAGGUGUAAAAGGAGUGAAGAGAAGACUAAAAAAGCCAAGGAAAAGUAUGAGAAGAGAAGGCUGAAGGCUCUGAAAACUGAGCUGAUUUCUCCAAGGGUCUCAGCUGUAGCUAUGAAAAUGAGUCCACCUGAAACACUGAGGAGUUGCUUCAAAUCAGUUGAUCAUCACCAGCUCUUAAAUUAACUUUAUAGCUUUUACAUCAUUAUUCUUGGUCUCUGAGAAACAGCUUUGCAGAUAAAGCAACUGAACUGAAUUGUGCAGCUGUAAAAGAGAAAAGAUUUAAAUUAUAGCCUAAAUAUUCUCCCAGCAAAGAAGAACACAUUCAGAGAGAUUUAGGGCUUAAUCUGACAAAGAAGUGGGUGGGUAGGAGGUGCUUGGUACUUCACAGCUUUAGCACCUCAGUUAUUAAAACUCAUUGAGGAGAUAUACAUCUCUGCUACCUGAAGGCCUGUCAGAUGACAGGGUGUGAACACAUCAUGUGUACCUGCAUGUCUAGACUGUGACAGAGCUGGCAUGCUCGCACUGCUAUCACACUGCCAUCGACAUUAGUACAGGAAUUGUUAAUCACUGCUCACAGAAACCUUAAAAUCAAGGGGAUAAAAAAAAGGGGGGAUUUGAAGGAUGAACUUGGCUUUUGGCCAAACCAGCAAAGGAAAACGAGACAAUCUUGUUCUGGCAACCAUCUACUUUAAGUAAAUGCUGUCUGCCAUGACCAGUGGUCUCUUGAGGGAACUCUGCUUGAGGCUGAACAAAUCCCUUUCUGGGAAGAAAUCAUCUGUGUCUCGCAUCACACAGGGCAUUGGCCAUCAGCUGACUGAACUGAACAUGUAAACAAAGCUGUGCUGGCAGUCAGGAGUCUUGCUUGUUAUACAGGGGAAAAAAAAGCUCUGCAAAAGCUCAUGAUCCAUUUAUGGCACCAUCCAGGUCAG